CCAAGGCGACGAUCCGUAGCUGGUCUGAGAGGAUGAUCAGCCACACCGGGACUGAGACACGGCCCGGACUCCUACGGGAGGCAGCAGUGGGGAAUCUUGGACAAUGGGGGCAACCCUGAUCCAGCCAUGCCGCGUGUGUGAAGAAGGCCUUCGGGUUGUAAAGCACUUUCAGCAGGGAGGAAGCCUUACCCUUAAUACGGAUGAGUACUUGACGUACCUUGCAGAAGAAGCCCCGGCUAAUUUCGUGCCAGCAGCCGCGGUAAUACGAAGGGUGCAAGCGUUAUUCGGAAUUACUGAGCGUAAAGCGCGCGUAGGCGGUGUGUUAAGUCGGAUGUGAAAGCCCAGGGCUCAACCUUGGAAUUGCAUCCGAUACUGGCACGCUAGAGUGCAGUAGAGGGAGGUGGAAUUUCCGGUGUAGCGGUGAAAUGCGUAGAGAUCUGAAGGAACACCAGUGGCGAAGGCGGCCUCCUGGACUGACACUGACGCUGAGGUGCGAAAGCGUGGGGAGCAAACAGGAUUAGAUACCCUGGUAGUCCACGCUGUAAACGAUGUCUACUAGCCGUCGGGGUCCUUAGUGACUUUGGUGGCGCAGCUAACGCGAUAAGUAGACCGCCUGGGGAGUACGGCCGCAAGGUUAAAACUCAAAUGAAUUGACGGGGGCCCGCACAAGCGGUGGAGCAUGUGGUUUAAUUCGAUGCAACGCGAAGAACCUUACCAGGUCUUGACAUCCUCGGAACUUGGCAGAGAUGCCUUGGUGCCUUCGGGAGCCGAGUGACAGGUGCUGCAUGGCCGUCGUCAGCUCGUGUCGUGAGAUGUUGGGUUAAGUCCCGUAACGAGCGCAACCCUUGUCCUUAGUUGCCAGCACGUCAUGGUGGGAACUCUAGGGAGACUGCCGGUGACAAACCGGAGGAAGGUGGGGGCGACGUCAGGUCAUCAUGGCCCUUACGACCUGGGCUACACACGUGCUACAAUGGCUGGUACAGAGGGUUGCGAAGUCGCGAGGCGAAGCUAAUCCCUUAAAGCCAGUCGUAGUCCGGAUCGGAGUCUGCAACUCGACUCCGUGAAGUCGGAAUCGCUAGUAAUCGCGGAUCAGAAUGCCGCGGUGAAUAUGUUCUCGGGCCUUUCCACGCCGCCCGUCACACCAUGGGAGUGGAUUGCACCAGAAGUGGCUAGUCUAACUACGGAGGACGGUCAC
rnacentral:rRNA from 1 species